rnacentral:rRNA from 1 species
UGCUGGAAUGCACCGAGAUCUAAAGCUCCGGCGCCUAAGGAUGGGUCUGCGGCCUAUCAGGUAGUAGUGGGUGUAGCGUACCUACUAGCCUACGACGGGUACGGGUUGUGAGAGCAAGAGCCCGGAGAUGGAUUCUGAGACACGAAUCCAGGCCCUACGGGGUGCAGCAGGCGCGAAAACUUUACAAUGCUGGAAACAGCGAUAAGGGGACCUCGAGUGCCAGGUUACAAAUCUGGCUGUCGUGAUGCCUAAAAAGCAUUGCAUAGCAAGGGCCGGGCAAGACCGGUGCCAGCCGCCGCGGUAACACCGGCGGCUCGAGUGGUAACCGUUAUUAUUGGGUCUAAAGGGUCUGUAGCCGGCCGGAUAAGUCUCUUGGGAAAUCCAGCAGCUCAACUGUUGGGCUUUCAGGAGAUACUGUCUGGCUCGAGGCCGGGAGAGGUGAGAGGCACUUCAGGGGUAGGGGUGAAAUCUUGUAAUCCUUGAAGGACCACCAGUGGCGAAGGCGUCUCACCAGAACGGACCUGACGGCAAGGGACGAAAGCUAGGGGCACGAACCGGAUUAGAUACCCGGGUAGUCCUAGCCGUAAACGAUACUCGCUAGGUGUCAGGCAUGGCGCGACCGUGUCUGGUGCCGCAGGGAAGCCGUGUAGCGAGCCACCUGGGAAGUACGGCCGCAAGGCUGAAACUUAAAGGAAUUGGCGGGGGAGCACAAUAACGGGUGGAGCCUGCGGUUUAAUUGGAAUCAACGCCGGUAAGGGC